UACGGAGGGGGCGAGCGUUAUUCGGAAUUAUUGGGCAUAAAGGGCGCGUAGGCGGCCCGGUAAGUCAAAGGUGAAAUCCCUCGGCUCAACUGAGGAACUGCCUUUGAAACUGUCGGGCUUGAGGCCGGGAGGGGGUAGCGGAAUUCCCAGUGUAGCGGUGAAAUGCGUAGAUAUUGGGAGGAACACCGGUGGCGAAGGCGGCUACCUGGACCGGUUCUGACGCUGAUGCGCGAAAGCGUGGGUAGCAAACAGG
rnacentral:rRNA from 1 species